GGAUGGACGGGUAUUCUUUGAACUGAAGAGCAUGGCCAGACCUCUACACGAAGUCCAACUAAGAGCCAUCUUCUUAUUGCCGGUAGGGGAUGGGUUGCGGGUUUCAAGUGCUUCCACGAAGCUACGAAAAAGUUUAGGAAUCUCAUCGGUUGGCAUAAUCUUUGUCUGUAACACACGAGCAGCUCGUGUUUUGAUAUCACGGAUUCCAAGUGAGCCUUUAGCCUUUGUUACCAAGAAACUGUCAAGUUUUCCACCCAAGUAUGCCAUCUGAAGAACGGAAUCUUUCUGAAAUGGUGCUCCAAGAGUAUAAUUUCAAGGGGAGGAUUGUUAUCGCGAUCUUUAAUGAACAUGCUUACAAUACUAUGUAUGCCAUAGCUCGUGAGGUUGGUUUGGAAAUUGUUUCUAUUUGAUAUAAACAAAUGUGUUGCUAUGUCUUCCAUAGCUCGUGGGGUUGGUUUGAAAGUUGUUCUUAUUUGAUAUAAACAAAUGUGUUGCUAUGUCUUCCAUAGCUCGUGCGGUUGGUUUCAAAGUUGUUCUUAUUUGAUAUAAACAAAUGUGUUUUGAAGUUUUCGAUUAUUCCACUUCUUUCACAGUUUUCUUAGUGUGUGUUUGAUAUUCGUUGAAUGAAAAUGGAUGCAUUUUUCAUGUUUGAGUUCUAUACUAUUCUAAGCAUGUUAUGUAGUUUCCGCUCGCUGGAUUAGAUAUAUAAAUCAUCUCCGAUGUUGCUUUUCUGAUUAUGGUUAAAAAUGAAGUUUCUUGUCUGUACAUUGAUUCAGAAUUUACAAAGUAAUAAAUGGAAAAAAAAAAAAGAAAAAGAAAAAAGAAAUCGUUUCAAGUAGGGGAUUUUGUCCAACUGCGUAGAUAAUAUGUUACAAGUAAUGAAGAAUCAGGUAUUUAAUUUUGUACCUUAAGAAUAUAGUUAAGUUGUUGUGGGAGGAACGGGAAUAGAAAAAAACAGGGAGAUGGUGAUGACGUUGAUCAGUAUCCACAGAUUGGACACGAGUUACCCGUAGAUGAUGCUCUGACGAAUCGGGACAAAGAAAAUUCCGUGACUGAGUUACAGAAUGUAGAAGCAGGGCAGGUCUCUCUUUUGUCGAGGCAGAUGGAGCAGCUUUGACAUAUUUUCAAAUCGAAUGUAUAAAAUUUUGUUGUCAUAUUUUCAAAUCGAAUGCUGAAUCAUCAGGUUCUUGCAACUUAAUAGGCUGAAAUCAUCGGGUGGUUGCAAAAGUUGCAAUUGUAAGAGUUUGAAACUUUAAAGCGCGUGCGGAUUCUUGUGUUUGUCAAGAUUGCUUUAACAGACCUGAAUAUGAAGAUACAGUUGUUGAGACACGGCAAAAAAUUGAAUCUCGGAACCCUCUUGCAUCUCCUCCUAAAAUCGUACGACCUGCAACCAGUUGUGGGGAAGAUGGUACCGAUAUCACGCCAUCCUCAACAAGGAAUAAAAGAGUGUGCAAUUGCAACAAGUCGAUAUUUGCGCAUUUAUUGUAUCAAGGAAAAAAAUAUAGUUUCACAGUGGUCAGAUGGAAGGAAGAAUAUAUUACUGCCACUUUACUUGUCGUCGCGGUGGCUGUGCGUGCCGAGGUUCUCGCCCAACAACUGAAAUUUUGAGAUGCACAUGAACUGCUUGCUUAUUGCUCAGAGAGAAACUUCAUUUAUUUCAAAGCCCACUUAAUGAAUGGCUGCUUCGAAUCGAAUUCAGAUAUAGCGCUGCCACGUGAUGAAUUAUCCUUGCGGUGCAUCAAAACGAUGGCGAGUUAUCAGGUUCUGAGUCCAAGAGAAAACGUUACGUAGUUUUAGUAUCGAACGGAAGCUUCAAUCCUCCUACAUACAUGCAUCUGCGUUGUCUUGGUAAGUGUAUCUCAGCAUACAUAAAGAAGCCUUGAAAUCUAUUAUUCGUAUAUUCUUUGCUAGCAAAUGUCUCACUAUACUUACACUUGUGUAUGGAUAUGUGUUGCAUAUAAAGUUGACGAGAGUGCUAAUUAUUUUGCAACUAUGCUACGUUUCGCUUGAGGUUGUAUUGAUUUAUCUUAUUUAAUGCUCAGAGUUGGCAAGAGAUCGAUGCUUUGAGUUCACAAGGGUUUUGUGUAUCAAAGCUGUCUCUUGUAUUAAAAACGGAGCCAUAUCUCGCCUUCGCCACGAGGGGGCAUAGAUGUAAAGUUCUCGAUAGGCACAGAAAGAUUGAUGAAUGUACCUUUGAGCUACUUAGAGAUCAAGAAAACGAUGAACGAGACGAAGUGGAAAAAGGAUCGAAGGUGUGAAAAUUGAUGAAUGUACCUUUGUAUUUAUAUUAUUUAUUGUACUUGUGUUUGCAUUUACUUGGAUUUUGCUGUGAAGGGAUAAAAAGAAGGGUGGUUAUAUACGCGGCGCCAUUUUGGCGUGCAUGCACUUUUUUACCAU